rnacentral:lncRNA from 1 species
AAAAAAGCAUAAAUAAUUAAUUAAGCCCUUGUUUGAUUCCCAUUAUUUUCAAAAUGCAUUUUUUUCUAUUGUUUUCAACCACGCAUUCUUCAAUAAAAUAAUAUUAGACGAAAACCCACAACUUUAUUUUAUUUUUUAACCACACAUUUUUCAUCAAUCUAUUAUUCUAAAAUGGAUUCUUACAAUAAAAUUGCCUCAAACAGGCUCUAAAAAAUCAAAAUUAAAACAAUAAAAAUCACUUUGUUUCAUUUUUUUUCUUCCACCACCACGGUUUUACUGCCUCAAUCUCCUAUCAAAUUGGAGAAUGUUCCAAAUUUAGUGAUAUAUCCUCGAGUCCAUGACCUAGCCUUCCCAUUUUCUUUCUUGAAAGGGGCGAUUUUUACCCCUCCAUGGAGCCGCCACCAAUUCCCCUCAAAUCUACAGUGUUGAGCUGCUAAAUCCACCGGAAUUUGACCCCUUCACCAACGCCAAUAAUCCCUCAAUCCAUCAAACCAAACAAUUACACAAACAGCUACAAAUCCGACACUAAAUCAGCCCCACAUAUACCAAGAACCACGGUGUGGGCAGUUUGUGACCGAAAUUGGAUGAAUUUGGUUGUUAAUUGGGCAAUUAAAUUGACACCCACUUUUGUGUGAUGUUGAUGAGGAUUAACAUGCGGCAAAUUAUUUGAACCAACACCCCCAAACCCAUGAAUUGAAAUAGGCACACUGGCCACAAUUUUUGCGCACAACAAGAGGAAAUUCCAAGGCAUAUCAUCAUCAAAUUGUAUUAUUAUUAUUAUUAUUAUUAUUAUUAUUAUUAUUAUUAUUAUUAUUUGUGAGACGACCGUGGGUAACGACGAAAUUGGUAAAAAAGUCGUGUGGUUCUUGGUGUAUUUGGGGCUGAUUUUGAGUCGAAUUUGUGGCUGUUUGUGUAAUUGUUUAGUUAUGAUGGAUUGAUGGAGUAUUAGGUGGAUGGGUGAAAUUCCAGUUGUUUCGGCGGUAGCAACAUGAUGAAUUUGGGAGGAAUUGGAGACGGAUCCAUGGAGGGCAAAAAUCGCCCUUUUGUAAAAAGAAAUGGGAAGGCUAGGUCGAUUCCAAGACAUAUCACUAAAUUUAGAUCAUCCUCAAAUUUGAUAGAAGAUUGAGGAAGCAAAUGUGAUGGUGGAAGAGAAAGAAAGAAGUGAUUUUUGUUUUUUAAUUAUUUAUUUGUACUUUUUUGAAAUUUUUGGGAGUGUAGCUGUAAUUUGUUUUUUAUUUUUCAUUUCUUUACUUUUUGUUUUAUUUAAAUAAGAGGGUAUAUUCAUCAUUUUAUAACUUUUAGUUGAAAAAUGGAUAAAAAUGAUUAUUUCCAAUAUGAAGGAUGAAGAUGCCAAAAAAUAAAAGGUAGAGAUAUUUUUCACAAUAAUAUUGAAAUGCAAAAUGUUUUGUGCUAAGUACCCUAUAUUUUAAUCCUCAUCUAACCUCACCUCAUCGCCAUAAAAUUUUUAGUAGGGCGAGAACACGGAGUGCCACCUCGUCCCAUUGCUGCACCUUCGUUAGCGCCCCUUCAUAUUUUGGUGCCAUCCCAUUACUUCAUGAUCACUUAUUGAUCCCGAUUACAUAAUUUAAGGGGGUGUUUGAUAGUCAUUUUUAUGUAAAAAUGCAUUUUAGAAUAGUAAACUGAUGUGAAAUGUGUAGUUGAAAAAUAAGGAAAAGUUUUUAAUUUACGUGUAAUAUUAUUUUAAUAAAGAAAGUGCCGUUGAAAAGAAGAAAGAGAAAAAUGCAUUUUGAAAAAAAUGGCUAUCAUACGGGGCCUAAGUUUGUUCCAACCGUCGCGUAAGCCCGAUACAGAAGAUAGGCUGGUUCACUUGAAGAGAUUCUUUUCUAUGAUCAGACCGAAUCAUGUUGUACAUGAGAGCUCGGAUCGAAUCGGUAUUGAUAUACCGAUUCGAUCCGAGCUCUUGGAAUUGGAAUAAGUUCAGCUCGAAUGACCCCUUGAGAAUGUAUAUAACCCUAUUCCGGUCUGGUCCGGUAUGGAAUGAACUUAUAAUCAGCUCAAUACCGUCAAGAAUUCCUGACUAUUGCAUGAGAACAGGUUCAUCUUUCAUGGCCACAUAUCUUUCCGGCUAAGGAAUGGGAAAUCUUUAUCCUGUUACAUGAAAGGAACAUAGGAGUUUGUCGCUAGAUAUUUGACCAAAUAGGAUCGUCCAAUUCCUAUAGAACCUAUCACUAAAAUCCCUAUUUUUUAAUUAAGAUGUAAACAUCUUUUGUAUAACAACAUCUUUUGUAUAACACACUUUCUUUAACCAGAACUCCCCCUUAAAACCUCAGUUAAGGCUAAUGUACAAUGUUUUCUACGAUGAUGACGUGUCAUUCGGGAAGCUAUUUUGCUCAAGUUAUUUGGUUCUUAAAUUUUACCAUUAAAAGUUCCAAAAAAAAAAAAAUAUAAAUAUAAAAUAUAAAAUAAAAAGUAAAUAAGGCCCUGUUUGAUUGAGCAUCUUUUUUAUGGAAAAUGAAGAAUUUUUUCUAUUUUCCACCUUUUGGUAGUAUUUGAUAGCAAAUAUUUUCCAUGGAAUUUAUUUGCUUGGUUUUCUUGAAAAGUGGAUGGUGCGAAUUGGUUUUCUAUGUAGGCUGCCAAUAUUUAUUACUUUUUUUUUUAUGCAAUGGAAACAAAUUCUAUCCCUAAUUGUAAAAAAAAAAUUAUUUUAUUGACAAUUUUCAUAUAAAACAAAGACAAACAAACACCAAAAGAUAGAUGAUUUUCUUGAUUUUUUUUAGGCAAUGGAAACAAAUUUUAUUCCCAAUACCAGUAAAUUAUAUUCCUUUAAUUAACAAUUUGCAUGUAAAAUAAAGCUAAACGAACACCAAAAAAUACUUUUAUUUCAACAUUUUUCAUAUGAAAAAUUAUAUCAAUCAAACACAAUAAUUGAAAAUUCUAAAUAAAAUAAUUUUUAGACAAUUCAAUUCCCUAAAAUUCGUUUUCUACCCACUCAAAUUUCAUUUUUGCAAUCAAACGGACCCUAAUAGUCUAAAAAUAUAAAUACCUUCAAAUUUCUUAAUUUCAUUUGUUAAGGCUCAGAAUUCUGUUCGACAUGUUGGCGAUGUGAUUUGAUAUGUAGUGGUCUUUGCACUAAAGUAACUGAUCAAAAAUGAGAACUAAGAAGAUAACAGAAUACAAGAAAACACAGUGAGAAUCAAAAUCUCUUUUCCAAUAUUCUAUAUAUUUAAUGAAUGUAUUGCUUGUACGUCGAUUCCACUUAUAGAAUUAGCUAUCAUUAUCAAGCUGCCAGCUACAAUUCAACUAAGUGUAUUGUGACAACUAACUAUUCAACUAAUACCUGUAACUAAUUAUUCCAGUUCAACUUUUCAAACUAACUUCAACCAACUGCAUCUUGAGGUCCAGUUCCAGCUCCAGCUCCAGCUCUAGAUUCAGCUGCAGGCUUUGCUAUAACAGAUUGCUGACUCGUAACAUCCCCCUUCAAGAUGGAAUUGUGCAAACCCAUGAUUCCCAUCUUGUUAAGUAGGAAAGAUAAUUGUUCUGCUCCUAAAGAUAGAAUGUCUGCAAGUAGUGUUUAGAAGAAACAUAAACUGUUUUAAUUAUAGUUUUUUUCUCAAGUAUGAUAAUCUAUAUCUAUGUAUUUCGUCCUCUCAUGAAAAACUGGAAUGGGCCAUGUGGUUGCAUUAUUGUUGCAAUGUAUUAAUGUAGGCUUCAAAUGGUCUUCAACAAGGUAUUUAAGUAUUUCUGAUAGCCAAAUCACUGCACAGUACAUAGUAGCUAUUGUUAUGUGCUCAGCUUCUGAUGAUGACCUUGAUAUUGUCGUUUGCUUUUAGAUUUCAAUGAAAUCAGUGCUUCUCUUAAAAAAAAACACAGUACCCUAUCACAAAUCACUUGCUUUCUAUGCGCCCUGCCCAAACUACAUCGCAAAAGGCCUUUAAUUGUAGAUUAGAUGUUCUUGGCAAAAAAAUUCUUUGAGCUGUGUAUGCUUAAUAUAUUUCAGAAUUCUAUGAGUUGUAUUGAAUCCAAGUGAGGCGAUCUUGGUUCUUGCAUAAACUGGCUAAGUGUCUAAAUAACAAAAGCUAAGUCAGGUCUCAUAAUAGUUAGGUAUAUUAACAUAACUAUCAGUCUUCAAUACCAUACAAGAUUGGAUAAUAGCUGCCCCUCUUCACGAGACCAUUCAAAUUCUGCUCCGUAAGAAAUUAAGAAAGAUGGGCACUAGUAAAGCCAAACAUCAAGUGCAUACUUGCAUUGUGAAAUAGAAAAACCAGUAGAAGAUCGAGCAAUUUCCAGACCUACAAAAAUAUCUGAUAGUGCCAAUAUCUUUGAUUUUAAAAGAUGAAUGUAAAUAAGUUUUGAGAGCAAAAAUGGAAACCAGAUUAGGACUCGUAACAACUAUGUCAAUGACAUAAAAUAGAAACACCAUGAAUGUAAUAGAAUUAUGCAAAGUGAAUAGAAUAUGUUCAUGUUGGUACUGAGUUAAACCAUAGAGCAGUGCAAAUCGAGUAAAUUUGACAUUUCACUGUCUAGAGGCCUGCCACAGGCUAUAAAGGGACGUUUGAGUCUAAAAACUGUAUUGGGAAUAGAAGAAGAGUAACUAGGUUGUAGACUCACGAAACUUCCUCAUCAAAUUCACUAUUAAAGAAAGCAUUAUCAACAUUGAGCUGAUGCACAUGCCAAUUUCAAGCUGCAGAAAUAGCUAGUAGUGUUCUCACAGUGACCGGCUUGGCAACAUACAAGUAAAAAAGUGUCUGAAAAAUCCAAACUUUCUAUCGUGUAGCUACUAGUCAAGCUUUAUGACGCUCUAUUUUCCCAUCAAAUUUAAAUUUGACUUUACGUACCCAUCGACAUUGAACUGAUUUUUUACGAGGAGAUAGAGUAGUAAAUUCCCAAGUCUGAUUUGCUUCAAGAGCGUCUAUCUCAGCUUGCAUGGCCUUUUUCCAGUGCUCAAAUUUUAUAGCUUUGUAAUUGUGCGUAGGCUCAAAGGUAGUAGAAACAGAGACAAAGAUUUGAAAAAGAAGGUGAUAACUUGCUAUACUGUACAGAUGUAGCUAAAUCAUGAGAAGUACCAACACUAUGUGAACCACUAGAACACAUGGAACGAGGUUGAGCUGAAGAAGAAGUAAGAAAAUUUCAGUGAUACUAUUCAAGGUAACUAAGAUUCCUAACUCUAGAAGACCUACAUUCUAAAAUUCCAGAUUAGUAAUAAAAAGUUACAAACAAAAGAAAUGCCUUGAUUACUUUGAUACGUAUUUUUCAGUGACGAGAAUAACAUCCAUUAGGUUGAUACUUGCGACUGUCGCUUUACAAAAUCUUGAAAUACAACAACUAGAUGUUAAAACUGCAUUUCUAAAUGGAAAUUUAGAAGAAGAAAUCUAUAUGGAACAACCCGAGAGGUUUUCGUUACCAGGGCAGGAAAAUAAAGUUUAUAAAUCACUAUAUGGCUUAAAACAAGCACUCAAACAAUGGCAUGAAAAAUUUGAUAAUGUCAUGAUAGAGAGUGGAUUUAAAAUCAAUCGGUGUGACAAAUGUGUUUACAAACACUAAAGAUGGUUAUGUCAUUUUGUGUCUUUACGUUGACGACAUGCUUAUUGUUGGUAGUGACAAUAAGAUGAUUGAAUCCACUAAAAAUAUGUUGAAUUCGAGAUUUGACAUCAAAGAUAUGGGUUUAGUUGAUGUUAUACUUGGAGUCAAAAUCUCAAGAACAUCAGAUAAACUUGUUCGAAGUCAGUCACAUUAUAUGGACAAAAUUUUGAAAAAGUUCAAUAAGGAUGAUACUGGCUUGGCUAGAAUACUAAUAGAUACAAGUCAACAUCUAUCUAAAAAUAAAGGUGAAAGUGUCUCUCAAGUAGAAUACUCGAGAGUUAUUGGAAGUCUAAUGUACUUGAUGAGUUGUACAAGACCAGACAUAGCCUACACAGUCAGUAAACCGAGCAGAUACACGAGUAAUCCAGGAGCUGAUCAUUGGAAAUGAAUAGUAAGAAUACUAAGGUACUUAUGAUAUACUCGUAACUAUGGAAUCCAUUAUAUCAAAUAUCCAGCGGUCAUUGAAGGAUACAGUGAUGCUAAUUGGAUAUCUGAUAUAAAAGACUCAAAAUCCACCAGUGGAUUUGUGUUCACAUUGGGAGGUGCUGCCAUAUCGUGAAAAUCCUCUAAGCAAACAGUUAUAGCCAGAUCUAUGAUGGAAUCUGAGUUUAUAGUUUUAGAUAAAUGUGGUGAAGAGGCCGAAUGGUUGCGCAGCUUUUUAGAGAAUAUUCCAAGAUGGUCAAAAUCUGUGCCAUAAUUUGCAUAUAUUGUGACAGUCAAUCAGCAAUAGGAAGGGCACAGAGUAAUAUGUACAAUGGUAAGUCUAGACAUAUACGUUGUAGACACAAUACCAUAAGACAACUACUCUCAACUGGAGUUAUCAUUAGUGACUAUGUAAGAUCAAAAGAUAACAUUGUCGAUCCGCUAACCUAAGAGUUAAACAGAAAGUUAGUUGGGAAAUCAUCGAAAGGAAUGAGACCUAAGUCCUUGAAUGAAUAAGUCAUUACAAAGGAAACCCAACCUAGUUGACUGCAGAUCCCAAGAUCUAGGUUCAAAGGGACAACCUAAUUGUAAAGGCUUAAUAAAAUCACUGUGGGGUGUAUCCUCAUGUCCAUUCCUAUGAUGUAACAGUGAUGCCCGUGAGGAUGAAGGAUAAGCAAUAGACUUUUAAUGAUUCUUAUGCAUCGAAGUUCGAGCCAAGUAAUGCGGGUUACUAGUAAUAAGAAAUCACCUAUAUGAGAAAGAAGUGGGGCCGCUUAUAAGAGAAUUGUGUAGGGCUCAAUUAUUAAGAACUCUCACAGAACCAGGCAUAUGUUCAUGGUCAAAAUGAACAUAAUAAUGAGAAUUGAAUUGUGUUAGGAAGAAUCUUGUGUGGAGUAUAUCAUCGUUUACAUAAAUGGUAGAACAGUUCAAGGACAACACGUCUACUGGUCAGCCAGUAAAGUAAAUAUGCUUUCAUAAGGGAAGGUUCAAAGGGUAAUACAUACAUAUCCUAUGCAGGCUUCAAUCGUUGAACUUUAUCAGCUAGUCUUGAGUCUCACGGUCACCAAGUCUCGUGUCUCACGGUUUCAUGUCUCUCCCAAUUUUUAUUCAUGUGGGGGAUUAUUGGAAAAAAAUGAGUACAUGGCUCACUUUUGGAAAAAAAAAUUGGUGGGACCCGUUGGUCCAAUUUGGAAGAUUGAAAUUGAUCCUUUUUCUCCUCUGUGAGAGCAUUGAAGCCAUAUAUUUAUUUGUCAAAAUUGAUGAAUGGAUGAAUGAGAAAUUGGAACUCAAAGAUGACCAUUGGAAGAUGGUUAUGUGGGAAAAAUUGAAGUUGGUCCCACAUAGGAAAAAUAUGAAAGCAAGAACCACUUUAAAUAUGGUUGCACAUUAGAAGGGUGUAAUCAUGUGUAGCAUAGAGGCUCUCUCCACGUGUGUGCGCAGGGGGGUGCAAAUCUCGGAUCGAAAUUGCUUUCGGACCUUGAACUUGUGUAUGGGCGUGACCUGAGUAUACGAAUGUCGGACCGAACGGAGCAAAAAUUGGCCCCUCCAAAGAGCCCAUGUUUUGCAAUUCUUUUUGUUUUCUCCACUGACUUUAAAGUUUCUGAAACUUCCAAAACUCCCAAAAAUUGAAAUGACUCCAAUGUUAAUUGCCAUAGAGUUAAUGGCAAAAUUAUACUAUAUUAAAUCUCAAGUUUUCCAACAAUAAAACAUAUGAAAAAUCUCACCAGGAAAACACACGAAUUCUCUCUGCACAAAAAUUCCCAGAUUCUCUCGUCGUCUUCUUUCUGUCCAGUGAAAUCGUCGAGGUGGUGAUACUGUUCAGACACUAAAACGGUUCGUCGGAAUAGUUUCUGUAGUGCUCAGAUUCUACUGGUUUUGCUGUUGUAUCCUGAGAAACAGAUGCUCAAACUAAACCUCAAACACUUAUGGUGAGGGGCGAAUCUGUUUUAAGGAAACUGUGUUCGCACAGGUCUCGGGUUGAAAAUUUAUUUACUAUUUAUUUAGUUUGUAUUUUAUUCUUGCAGAUUUAUUUAUUUAGCGAUUUACACAUCUCAUAUAUUGUUUGUUAAAUUUAUGUUAGAAAUAUAUUUCUAAAAGGAAGAUAAAAUAAAAUAAAUGUUUUUUUUUUUCAAUUCGUUAUAUGUGUGAAAAUUAGAUUUUACAUAUACGGUAUUUCUAUUUGUAAGUAAAAAAUUUGUGUUAUUUUAGUUAGUGUAUGAAUAAAAAACACUUUGUUCAAAUUUUGUACAAAUACGGUGAGUUUCGCCUGCAAAUACAGUGAGCUGCCAUAUACGGUGAGCUUUCUACAAAUACGGUAGGCAGCAUAUACGGUAAGCUGCAAAUACGGCAAGCUGCCUGGAUGCCAUAUACGGUAAAUUGAGCUGCUAAAUACGAUAAGCAAUUGCCAAAUACGGUAAGCGUGAAUCCGGUGUCUAAAUCACAUAUACGGUAUAUGAGAACCCGAUUUCACUCCAGACACUACCAAUUAAAUUUACCAACAAAAAGGGAAGAAUUAGAGUCCUGUUGUAAGUCAAAUUGGAUGGUUGAAGGAAAACAUUAGGCGUGCUUUGGCUGCUGUGGCACAGAAGUCGGCAGUAGCUUGGAGAAAAAAAAGGGAAUUUGCGGUGCAAGGUUGAAAUAUAUACACACAAUCAAAAGCCAAGGCAGAGAGGAAUUGGAGUGGCAGUUUUGGACCACAUUGACGGCUGCUGUUGCAUUAAAAGAUAAUUACACACAAGAAAACAGCAAAAAAGUCGGAGGUUGCGUUUGGGUUGGAAAACAGAGAAAACAUAUACACGCAGAAGAUGGCACAUGCUAUUGAAAUUAUUCAUGUUUCGUCAAUUUCUCAGUGAUGUAUUUUCAGUUUUAUUUGUUUAAUUCCAACAGUAUGCUAAGCUAAUUCCUCUCAUGUAUUCAAUGAAGAUGAAACCAUUUAUUAUUUAUUUUUGAUUCAAGACAAGUAGUUUAGUUAAAUUCUUGCAAUUCUUGAUUAAUCUUCCAUGCUUAAUUUUAUUAUUUGAUUGCUUGAUCACCAAUUAAACAUAUUGUUACUUGUUGUAUUGUUGGGAGGCUCGGUCUAGAACACUGCGUGAUUAAUACAUGUGCAAUAAAUUUUAGGAAUAAUAUUUACCACUGUGAAAUUUUUGGGAUAAUUGUAAAAUUGAAUGCGAUCUAUUCAUUUGAAUUCGAACUAAAAAUAGAUUCGGGUCGCGAUUAUGAUAGAUUUAAUUUGUUUUGGAAAAGAAAAUUAAUUACAAUAGAAUUACCGAUUGUCAAGAAUAUAUGAACGAAGCUAGUUGCGUAGUCAAGAAUUGGAAUAGAUAAUAAUAGGUGGAUUCGUAAUCCAAUACACUAUUCCCAUACAUAUAUAAAACUCGUAUUUUACAAGCUUUCGUAUAUUACUUUAGAAUAAUAAAAAAAUCACAGUCACUUUCAUUUUGCUUACUUUGAAUCUAGUUAAAGACUAUUACACUCUAUUAAAUUUUAAUUUUCGUGGGACGAUACUCUUAACUCACUCAAAUCUAUUACUUGUCAACGAUCUCGCACGCUUGCGGAUUUCACAAGAACACUUACAUGACUUAAAACUUGGUGGAAAACCAAUAAUCAUAAAGCACUUGUCAGUUGUGUGAGAGGUAUAACCAUGUUCAGUACAAUACAAAUAUUUUUUUCGAGGACCAUAUGGCUGCUUGAAUAAACUAGAGGAACCAAAUGAGUAUUGAGGCAAAGAAGGACUAAGUGUUGUCUUGCUAGCCAUAGCAGCAGAUUCAAAAUGAGGAAUAGAGUGACCAAUAUUUCUUUGAGUUCAUUCUUGCGGAAUUAUAGAGAAAAUUUUGUUGAGGGAAGGCAAGGGUUUAGAUAGCAGUAUUUGACAUAUUAAUGUAGCAAAUCUCUCAUUCUGUCCCAUAAAAAUGCUGAAUGUAAUCUUGUUGAUGAUAUUCCAAUAGAGUUUUAACACUGAAAUAUCAAAGUUGGACCCAACUAACAAUAGAGGAGGUAAAUAGGUGUUUUAUACAGAAUUUAAUCUUAUCAAUAUUUAAAGCAGCAGGUCAAUAUAGAUAUUUAAUUAAACGAAUUCACAUGCAAUUCUAACCUAGAUGUUGCAUUACUACAAUUUGUAAUUUUCAAAAAAUAAAUAACACCAAGGAAUUGAUAACGGAGAAAAACUCCUUGUAGGAUCAAAAAACUUUGGGCAUAUUACCCAAUAAAAUUCAUUAUAGACGAAUUAACUUAUAGUAAAAUCUAGACUUGACUAGCUCCUAGUACAUUCUCUAAUAACUAAGGCCCUCUUAAACUGCGUGCUCUUACACCAGCUCUUGACCUUUGGAAUUGUCUAUCUUCUAUGGAUCACCGAGAAUUAGGAUUGGCAACGGGGCGGGAUGAGUUCCCCGUUCCCCACCCCCACCGGGCAUUUCCUGCCUCGGACCCUCCUUGUUAUCCCUUUAAGGCGGGGCAGGGCGGGACGAUAGCCCUGUUUAUGUAGCCUUUUUUUUUUUUAAUAGUUUUGUAUAAUUCAUUUUCCUGCACCCCUUCAUUCAAGUGAGAUAAUAAUAUAGUUAUUAAAAAUUUAAUUAAUUAAUUUAUAUUUAAAAGUUAAAUUAUUCGAAUAUAUUUGGUAAAUUAAGAUUUUUAUUAUUUGUUGUAUUCCUUAGAUAAUCUUAGUUGCAAUCUUCUACUAGAAUUAAUGAAAUUUCGUGGAAUUUUUUUUUGAAGUAUUGAAUUCUUAAAAAAGUAAAACUAAGUGGGGCCCGUUACCCGUACUCGAUCGAUUACCUAAUUAAGUGGGUAGUCUUCGUUCCAUUUGGGGCGGCCACAGGGGUAUUGAAUUUGACGGAUAUUUUUGUCAUCCCUACCGAGAAUUCCCCCGUUCUCCUCCUACCGGAACUUCAACCACCUUUCUAAAUCUUCAGCACUUUUUGAUAGAUAUAUAGGAAAUGGAGGGUUUGGUGUUUCGAGAAUAUGAAUUUGAUGUUUUCAAUAUGUGGUUGAUUGAUCUCAUUGUAGGGAAUUGAUGUAGAAUCUCCAACAGAUGAAUUAUGGGAAGAAUAUAAUGAUCAAUCACACCUACGGACAAAAUAUAACUUAGGUAUAUAUAGUAGACGGUGUUUGGGGUUGUCUAAAACUCAAAAAAAACGUUUAAAACGCGAUUUACAAUUUUCCCCAAAAUAACUGGAGCUCAAGCAAUACCUCGACGCCAAACAAGUGCCGGGCUUUCGAUCGAGUGAAACACCGGCAUUAGGCAGACAUUAUGCUCACUGUUUUGGACGCUCAAGCAUGAUCUUGGCAUUGAGCAAGCAUUAGUGCAACGACUUUAUCUCUUUGUUUCAUACUCGAACCCAAAAAUUCCUAAUUGAUCUAGACAACCUCCCCCAAUGACUUUUUAACUUUUUUAACUUUAAUUUUGUCCAGAGAAUUGCCAGUUACAAUAAAUCUAAUAAAGACUAGGACUAGAAUCAACAGGUAGGGGUAGAUAAUUGAACUAUUCAUCCCACAAGGUUUUGAACGUGGUGAAAUAAUUAGUCACUGAUGAAGACCCUUGAUUAACAGCACAGAUCGACUUUUACAGUUGAAAGAUUUAUGGAGAAUUGCCUUGACUAUACCUCUCUUCGAGUUCUUUUCACAGAUCAGAUGCAAUAGCAAUAUAAAGAACACUAGCAGCAAUAUCUUUACUUAAGGAGUUUAAGAUCCAAGAGCAAACCAUAUCAUUACAACGAAUCCAUGCUGGAUAAGGAGGAUCAGUUGUAGGCUUUGAAAGAUCUCCAUUGAUAAGGCCAAGCUUGUUCUUGGCAGAGAUGGCCAUGGACAUAGAUCUCUUCCAAGGAAAAUAGUUGCAUUCAUCGAGAACUUAAAGAAACCCAUACAGCACCANGUAUGACGGUGCACAUGCAGCCCAUUAAUAGACAAGUUGAAACAUAUUUUUGAAUACUUUAGUGUAAUAUACGCAUAAUGUAACAUGGUUUUCUUUCUAACCUGUAACAGAAAACAUUUCUCUUGUUUCUACGUGCAUGUGUUGUAAUAUAGCUACGCCUUUAAGCAAACUUUCUUGAACAAAAGAACAUGCUAUGGUGAUCAAAUGGGACCCCAUUGUGUCUUUUUGAAACACACACACGUUGGCAAAAUUAGCCCUUUUUCCUUUCUGAAUUAUAUAUGAAAAAUUAAUUAGCUAAUCAAUAAUCUGAAAUUUUUAUAACUGACUAAAAUUAUCGAUCAAAUUUGCCAAAUUUCGUUAGCAGGUGUUUGGAUUUGUGGUUUGGGGAUGAGAUUCAACACUAAAAAAAGCGACCUCGUGCUAAGAAGUUGUAUUAACAAAAUUUAAAUGACGAAACUUUUGGAUGCUAUUUUCAUGGUCAAUAAACAUCAUCGACAACGUUAAUUUUGUAAUGAAGUUGGGUGAGUAUAGACGGAAGAAUCCUCCAUAUAACUUGGCGCGUGAAAAAAUCACCCACGGAGUGGUCAUACGAUUUAAUUAGGCCAUGGACAUUCUAUAGGGACAACAAAAUGUCUUGUCCAUGUCCUGCCCCUCGUUUUGUGUUUUCCCUCCCAAAAAAGAUCAGAGGGAAUCGAGGCAAGCACGGUGAACAUGGAAUGCACCUUGAUUAUUAUUUUCUAUUACAUUUACAUUUUUUAUGGUUAAAUCUUACCCUUUUUUUUAAAAGGUAUUAAAAAUUAACUAACUAAAUGGGAUGGUGGGGGGGGGGGGGGACAUAUUUUAGGUUAAUUAGCGCAAAUAGGCACACUGGCCACAAUUGAAAUAGGCACACUGGCCACAAUUUUUGCGUACAACAAAAGGAAAUACCAAGGCAUAUCAUCAUCAAAUUUUACUUUUUGUGAUGUUUCUUCACGAUUAUGGGUGACUAGAUAACAUGGAUUGACCAGCAAUAGAAGACGACCAUGGGUAAUGACGAAACGAUCGAAAUUGGUGAAAAAGCCGUGUGGUUCUUGGUGUAUUUGGGGCUGAUUGGGAGUCGAAUUUGUAGCUGUUUGUGUAAUUACUUGGUUGUGAUUGAUUGAGGGAGUAUUAGUUGGAGGGGUGAAAUUCCAACGGUUUUGGCGGUAGCAACAUGAUGACUUUGCGAGGAAUUGGAAAUGGCUCCACGGAGAGCAACCCCCCUUUGUAAAAUGAAAAUGGGAAGGCUAGGUCAUGGAUUCCAAGAUAUAUCACUAAAUUUGGAUCAUUCUUCAAUUCGAUAGAAGUGGUUGAAGAGAAAGAAAGAAGUGAUAUUUGUUUUUUUUAAUUUUGAUUUUUUAAUAAUUUGUUUGUAUUUUUUUUGAAAAAUUUGGGAGUAUAGUUACAAUUUGUUUUUUAUGUUUCUUUUUGUUUUAUUCAAAUAGAAGGGUAUAUUCAUCAUUUUAGAACUUUUAAAUGAGA